GGCCUCUUGGCGCAGUGGUAGCGUAUCUGAUUCCAGUGAGUUACACUUUGAAUCUCCAGAUGGUCGUCCGUUCGAAUCGGGCAGAGGUCA